rnacentral:rRNA from 1 species
UUCGGACUUAGUGGCGCACGGGUGAGUAACACGUGGGAAUAUACCUUUCGGUGGGGGAUAACGUCGGGAAACUGACGCUAAUACCGCAUACGCCCCUUGGGGGAAAGAUUUAUCGCCGAGAGAUUAGCCCGCGUCCGAUUAGCUAGUUGGUGAGGUAACGGCUCACCAAGGCGACGAUCGGUAGCUGGUCUGAGAGGAUGAUCAGCCACACUGGGACUGAGACACGGCCCAGACUCCUACGGGAGGCAGCAGUGGGGAAUAUUGGACAAUGGGCGCAAGCCUGAUCCAGCCAUGCCGCGUGAGUGAUGAAGGCCUUAGGGUUGUAAAGCUCUUUCGACGGGGACGAUGAUGACGGUACCCGUAGAAGAAGCCCCGGCUAACUUCGUGCCAGCAGCCGCGGUAAUACGAAGGGGGCUAGCGUUGU